UGUUGUUCUGACUGUUUCAAAAGCUUAUAUUGUCUACAAUUUGAACUUAUAAGCUCGUGAUCAACAGGCAGGACAACUG
rnacentral:pre_miRNA from 1 species